rnacentral:rRNA from 1 species
AAAGGAAUUGACGGGGACCCGCACAAGCGGUGGAGCAUGUGGUUUAAUUCGACGCAACGCGAAGAACCUUACCAGGGCUUGACAUCCCUCGCAAGUUGUGGAAACACAGCGUUUGGUCUUUCGGGACUAACGAGGAGACAGGUGGUGCAUGGUUGUCGUCAGCUCGUGUCGUGAGAUGUUGGGUUAAGUCCCGCAACGAGCGCAACCCCUACUUUUAGUUGCCAGCAUUCAGUUGGGCACUCUAAAGGAACUGCCGGUGACAAACCGGAGGAAGGUGGGGAUGACGUCAAAUCAUCAUGCCCUUUAUGUCCUGGGCUACACACGUGCUACAAUGGCCGGUACAGAGGGUUGCUAAGGAGUGAUCCGGAGCCAAUCUCAAAAAGCCGGUCUCAGUUCGGAUUGUAGGCUGCAACCCGCCUACAUGAAGUCGGAAUCGCUAGUAAUCGCGAGUCAGCAUAUCGCGGUGAAUACGUUCCCGGGUCUUGCACACACCGCCCGU